rnacentral:rRNA from 1 species
GACAGAGGGUGCAAACGUUGCUCGGAAUUACUGGGCGUAAAGCGUGCGCAGGCGGUUUUGUAAGUCUGUCGUGAAAUCCCCGGGCUCAACCUGGGAAUUGCGAUGGAGACUGCAAGGCUAGAAUCUGGCAGAGGGGGGUAGAAUUCCACGUGUAGCAGUGAAAUGCGUAGAGAUGUGGAGGAACACCGAUGGCGAAGGCAGCCCCUGGGUCAAGAUUGACGCUCAUGCACGAAAGCGUGGGGAGCAAACAGG